rnacentral:rRNA from 1 species
AUUGAACGCUGGCGGCAUGCUUUACACAUGCAAGUCGAACGGUAACGGGUUAAGCUGACGAGUGGCGAACGGGUGAGUAAUGCAUCGGAACGUGCCCGAUCGUGGGGGAUAACGCAGCGAAAGCUGCGCUAAUACCGCAUACGAUCUGAGGAUGAAAGCGGGGGACCGUAAGGCCUCGCGCGAUCGGAGCGGCCGAUGUCAGAUUAGGUAGUUGGUGGGGUAAAGGCCCACCAAGCCGACGAUCUGUAGCUGGUCUGAGAGGACGACCAGCCACACUGGGACUGAGACACGGGCCAGACGCCUACGGGAGGCAGCAGUGGGGAAUUUUGGACAAUGGGCGAAAGCCUGAUCCAGCAAUGCCGCGUGCAGGAAGAAGGCCUUCGGGUUGUAAACUGCUUUUGUACGGAGCGAAAAGGUCCUUUCUAAUACAGGGGGCUCAUGACGGUACCGUAAGAAUAAGCACCGGCUAACUACGUGCCAGCAGCCGCCGUAA